rnacentral:rRNA from 1 species
UACAUGGGCGAUAAACGUUAUUCGUAUGUAUCGAGGUUAUAGGGCGCUCCGGCAAUUUUUGUUAAAAUAAUAAAUUUUUUUAAUGACAAAAUAAUAACAAAUAUCAGCAUAUAAAAUUUAAAAAAUAGUGAUAAAAUACAAAAAUUUUUUACAUUUUUCUUAUGGAUAUGCUUUUAUUUUGUUUUAGCUUACUGCGCGAAGUAAGGGUAUCGAUUGGG